rnacentral:rRNA from 1 species
GACAGAGGUGCCAAGCGUUAGGCGGAAUCACUGGGCUUAAAGCGUGUGUAGGCGGAUUUGUAAGUACCUUGUGAAAUCCCAUGGCUCAACCAUGGAACUGCUCGGUAUACUGCGAAUCUUGAGCCACUUAGGGGCUACCGGAACAAAUGGUGGAGCGGUGAAAUGCGUAGAUAUCAUUUGGAACGCCAAUGGUGAAAACAGGUAGCUGGGAGUGAUGCUGACGCUGAGACACGAAAGCCAGGGGAGCGAACGGG